AUCCUCGCCCGGCGCCUCACUCACCAAGGGCCGCGCCGGGGUUCUGCACUGUCACUGCGCUGCGGUUCCCCGCCUUAGGGAUUCUCACACGGUUCCACGGCUCCAGGCCCGGCGGCACCGCAGCCAUCAUGCGAGGCGGGGGGACUUACGAAAGGCGGAGCUACGCGAGAGCACGUCCAGCGACCGGAGUCUGGAACAGUUCCUCGUUCUUUCUCUGGCUCUGGAUCUGCGUCCCUGACAGUCUUAAAGAGGACAGACCUUUCAUUCAUGAGGAUGACCCUCAACUUGGCCCAGUCCAUGUUUCCUCAGACUCAAGCCUUGCAUUCCUGGCAGAAAGACUGAAGAAAUGAUGCUGUGCUCUUCUCAGUGCUUCGCGUCAGGAGGCUCUACUCUCUCAACCGGCCCCACUAUUGUCUCUUGAAGGUGCAGCUGUGUGGCUUGGCCAUGAGGAUCGGAGAGGAUAUAAAGAGGGCAGGAGAGGGGACGACUCCCAUUUUGCCACCCUG
rnacentral:lncRNA from 10 species